rnacentral:rRNA from 1 species
GACGGGGGCCCGCACAAGCGGUGGAGCAUGUGGUUUAAUUCGAUGAUACGCGAGGAACCUUACCUGGGCUCAAAUGUAUGUUGACGUAUUCUGAAAGGGAUACUUCUUCGGACAAUAUACAAGGUGCUGCAUGGUUGUCGUCAGCUCGUGCCGUGAGGUGUCGGGUUAAGUCCCAUAACGAGCGCAACCCCUAUCAUUAGUUGCCAUCAGGUCAAGCUGGGGACUCUAAUGAAACUGCCUACGCAAGUAGUGAGGAAGGUGGGGAUGACGUCAAAUCAGCACGGCCCUUACGUCCAGGGCUACACACGUGCUACAAUGGCCGAUACAAAGGGCAGCGACACUGCGAGGUGAAGCCAAUCCCGUAAAAUCGGUCUCAGUCCGGAUUGGAGUCUGCAACUCGACUCCAUGAAGUUGGAAUCGCUAGUAAUCGUGGAUCAGCAUGCCACGGUGAAUACGUUCCCGGGCCUU